UACGGAGGGUGCAAGCGUUAUCCGGAUUUACUGGGUUUAAAGGGUGUGUAGGCGGGUCUUUAAGUCCGUGGUGAAAUCUCCGAGCUCAACUUGGAAACUGCCAUUGAUACUAUUGAUCUUGAAUUCUGUUGAGGUUGGCGGAAUAAGUCAUGUAGCGGUGAAAUGCAUAGAUAUGACUUAGAACACCGAUUGCGAAGGCAGCUAACUAAGCAGAUAUUGACGCUGAGGCACGAAAGCGUGGGGAUCAAACAGG
rnacentral:rRNA from 1 species